GAUGAAGAACGUAGUGAAAUGCGAUAAGUAAUGUGAAUUGCAGAAUUCAGUGAAUCAUCGAAUCUUUGAACGCACCUUGCGCUCCUUGGUAUUCCGAGGAGCAUGCCUGUUUGAGUGUCAUGAAAUUCUCAACCUUUUCAGCUUUCUUUGUUGAUCAGGCUUGGAUGUGGGAGUAUGCGGGCUUCUCAGAAGUCGGCUCUCCUGAAAUGCAUUAGCGGGACCUUUGUUGCCUGGCUUUGGUGUGAUAAUUAUCUACGCCAUUGUAGUCAAGCAGCUUAAAAUGAGGUUUCAGCUUCUAACCGUCUCCCCUGAGACAACUUUUUGACAAUUUGACCUCAAAUCAGGUAGGACUACCCGCUGAACUUAAGCAUAUCCAAUAAGCGGAGGA
rnacentral:misc_RNA from 1 species